AGAUAAACCUCCAGUAGAUGUACAGCCAGAAAUUCCAUACUCAUGGUUUCGUCGAGAUAAGUUUGCUCAUAAAGAAUUUAAUCACAAGUUUUUAAACAAUAUGUUUGGUCAUAAGUGCUCCGUUUGUGAUCGAUUGUGUUUUAAGUUAGAUUUAAAAUCACCUCGUGCUGAAGAUGAACAAUUAUUAAGUGUAAUAGUUGAAAAUUAUAAUACAUUUGAAGAUAUAUUACUGUGCAACACGUGUUACCAAGCAAUUGGGAGGAAAGUGAUUCCUAUAAUAUCUACUUAUAACGGUUUUAAAUAUGAAAAGACACCGGAGGUUUUACCACCGCUUGACUUAAUUUCUGAAAGACUUGUCUCACCACGAGUUCCAUUUAUGCAAAUUCGACGGUUACGACAUGUUCAUGGGCAAUAUGGAAUUUAUGGACAAAUCAUUAAUGUACCAGUCGAUGUAAAUAAUAUGGUAAAACUCUUACCCCGUAAUGUCGAUGAUGAUUACUGUAUUAACGCACGCAGAAAAAAAAAUACAUAGAUCAAGCUAUUUAAAGCAACUGGUUAAUAAAAGGGCAUUUCGUGCAUGGCUUCAGUAUCUGCUUAAAACUCCAUUUUAUUUAUUUUACGAUAUUAAAAUUGAUGAAAGCUUCUUCAAGAAUGAUAGUAAUAACGAAAUCGAUCUAGAAGAAAUGAGUGAAGAUAUACAGGUUGAAGAAAGUCUAACAGCACAAAGAAAAACUCUACUUUGGAAUGAAGAUAUGUAUUUACGGAUCGCUCCUGGAGAAUAUAACAUUCCCAAAAGUAUAAUUUUUGAUGAACAUGCCGAAAAACUUUCUUUCCCAUCGAUUUAUUUGGGUAAUUUCCGAAAAUUUAGAGAGGGAGUAAAUGCAACACCGUUCGGAAUAGCAACUAGCGAAUUACGAAGAUCAGAUCGGCGUGGAGUUACUCCACAUCAUUUAUUAUAUCUAGCAAUGAAAAUUAUGAGGUUAAGAGUUCGCGACUCUUAGCAAGGCAGCAAGUUUAGUCAGCUGACUACAUUAAAAAUUUUAUCGAAAGUAAUUUAGCUUUCCUACGCUCAAUACCAAAUUCAGUUUGGUAUUGGAGCGAUCGAAAAAUAGAUCUUUUUGCGAUGAUUCGGCAACUAGGAAAACCUACGAUGUUUCUUACUUUGACUGGCAAUGAAAUCGGAUGGACCAAUUUAAUACAAUUAUUGUACAAAUUAAAAAAUAACGGUACUGAAAUUUCAGCUGAACAAGCUGCGUCAUUGGAUUACAUAUCUAAGACUACACUAGUGAAUGAAGAUGCUGUGACCUGUGCUAUCUAUUUUAAUAAAAAAGUCAAUAUCUUGAUAACUAUUCUCCGAUCAAAGAAAAACAGCCCAUUUGGAAAUUAUUAUGUUGUCGACUAUUUUAAACGAAUUGAAUUCCAUCAUCGUGGUAGUUCUCAUGCACAUAAUUUAUUAUGGCUGAAUGACGCUCCAUCAGAUCCUCUUGGUACAAACUAUCAAGAUACUGUAAUGAUGAUCGAUCAAUUGAUAUCAGUUUCUUCAUCAGAAGCUUCUGGACAUAUUCGCUUGCAAAGCCACAAACAUGCCUUUACCUGUUAUAAAAAAGUGCAUGCCAAUCAACCUCAGAAAUGCCGAUUUGAUGCUCCAUUUAUGCCAUGUAAAUCCACUACAAUAUUAAAACCAAUGCAGAAAGAUCAUCCAGGAUAUGCUGAUUAAGCUAAGUGGUAUAAACAAAUACAAAUUAAUCUUGAAAACAAUGAUUACGAGAAUAUUGAAAUGGUUUAUGCACAAAAUCAUAUAACUUCGGAUAAUGAUUAUUUUCAUAUUCUUGAAGCUUGAAUUACCAGACCUAAAGUAUUUUUGAAGCGACAACCUAAAGAAAAAUGGCACAACCCUUUCAAUCCUUUUAUUCUCAAUUUAUUACAAUCAAAUACAGAUAUGCAAUUUAUUAUUGAAGAAUACUCAUGUGCAGCGUUUGCUGUUGAAUUUGUCAAUAAAACUAAUAGGGGUAUAAGUAAUUUACAAAAACAAAUUCAUGAAAUCAUGGACGAAAACCCUGAUUUUGAUUUAGUAGAAUUAAUUAGAAAAAUGAGUGUUAAUAUGCUCAACACUGUUGAAUUAACAAGCCGGGAAGCAGCGUGGUACCUUCUACGUGAACCUAAGUAUGUCUAAAAGUUCAGUCUCCAUAGUUUAUAUUCCCACCGUUUGGCCUAUUGAACAACAGCGUAUUAUACGAACACAAAAAGAAUUAGAUGCAUUAAAUAUCGAUGAAGAUUCAACAAGUAUUUGGAAGGAAAACUGGUUUGAUAAAUACGAGAAGCGGCCACAAGAAAUGGAAGAAUUAUCUCUUGCACAAUUCGUUGCUAAUUUUACUAAAAAUUCUCAAGGUGAUUAUAUUCGUCGAAAGCAACAACGCAUCAUUAUAGGAAUUAUGACAUAAACUCAGAUAUAAAUGAGUAUAAAAGAGAAAUGGUGACUUUGCAUAUUUCAUUUCGGAAUGAAGAAUUCGAUAUUCUUGACGAGAUGAAAUUUAUUAGGAUUUACGACGAAAAUGAAAACCAAAUUCUGAAGCGAUGUAAAGAGUUUGAAUCUGACUUAGACAUUAAUAAAACUAUAGAGCUAUGUCGAAAACUAUGUCGCGAAAAUGAAGAAGCAGACGAUGACGAUGAGAUUCAUGAUAUUGCCACUAGAUUUCCAGAAGCUAAUCCAUUCCAAACGCUAUAUGACAAUCCCAAUUCGGAUGUAAACAGUGAUUUACGUCUCGCGACCCUAAAUAAACUUGGUGCCAUUGCAAAACGGAAAGAAAAUCUAAUGCCUAACGACCAAUAUUAUGAGCUGAUGGAAAUGGCAAACCAAAAACAAAAGGAACUUUUGAUGCACGUCAUUUACAAUCUUCAGUUGGAAGAUCCUCCUCCGCUGCAAAUAUUUUUUACAGGACCAGCUGGAUGUGGUAAAACAUUUUUUAUUAAAUUAUUAAUGGAAAUUUAUAAUCGAUAUUCUGAAAGUGAUGGGUUUUGCAAUGCUUAUAUCACUUGUGCUUCAACUGGUAAAGCUGCUGUGGCUAUCGAUGGGACAACAGUACACACUGCACUGAAUAUAAGUCUUUCAAAGUUGCUUCCUUUAUCAAUUGAAGUAGCCCAACAAUAUAGAUCACUCUUUAAAUAUGUCCAUGUAUUGAUUACCCUGGUCAGCAAAUUUGUAAUUUUUUUUUUGUCACAUGAAAAAUUAUAUAAAAUUUUUAAUAUACUAGGGCCACCAAAUAAUAAUAUAUCAAUGAAAAAAAAAUGUACACAUCAUGUUUUCUUGUGACAUCAAAACAUAUAUUUUCGCAAAAAAUACAAAAUUCAGCCACACUUACAGAAUUAUUUCCUAAUAUCUAAUAGAUACUUAUGAUUUUAUUGAAUAUUUGGCUUCCGGUAGGUCCCUUUAUAUCUCCAACAAUAGUCUGGUAGCAUUCCUUGACUCCAUUUCCCUUGAUAACGCUUCUCCAUUAAGGAAAUGUCUUGAUGGAACCUCUCACCUUGUUCGUCACUCACAGCACCUAAAUUUGCCGGAAAGAAAACCAGAUGAGAGUUAAGCAUAUGUAUUUUCAAGGACUUAUUACACCCCAAAUCUUUAAAUGAUAUCAUAAGUUCAUUUAUUAAAUCUUUGUAAUUUUCCGGUUUAUGGUUACCUAGAAAAUUUUGAACAACAUUCACAAAAUAUUUCCAGGCGAGUUUUUCCUGAUCAUUCAGUUUUUCUUAAAAGCUCUUAUCCUUUAUCAAUUGCCGUAUUUGUGGACUUACAAAUAUUCCCUAUUUGAUUUUCGCCUCGCUGAGUUUAGGGAAUUUCUCUUUUAGAUAUAAAAAUCCAUCUCUAUCUUUUGGACUAGAAUUCUCACUUUUUGAUCGAUUUGCAGGCAUCGGCACAGGCAGUUCGGUACUAUGUAGGAUGGGUCUCUUGGCCGAAGACAAGUUUGGAUACUGGAUAGUGUGGUAGUAAUACCUUUUGUUUGAGUCAAACAAAAAUAGCAAUCACUUAAAUGAUCCUUUGGUUCCGUCCAAAUCAUUGGUAUAGCAAAUGACAAAUGUCUAGGUUCUUGUUUAGCAGAACCUAAAAGAAGCCUCACACACGUUACACAACAUUUAUGUGGAAAACAGGAUUUGUCUUGAUUCCUCACAGGAAAACCAAAAUAGUCUUAAUACCACUCUUCAAUUAGUGAUGUGAAAUUUCGACGCUGAGAUGUAAAAGUUAAUUCUCCACACACAUAACAAAAAUUGUCCGGGUUGUUCAAAUACUUUCGUGGCAUAUUUACGAUCUAACUAAUGUAAAUAAGAUGUAAUUUAGCAAACACAAUAGUUACACAAUCGACGAAAUGCAGUUAUGUACACAAAGAAACGUAUAUGAGGUCAGAAAUGAAUAUGUAGCUGUCACAAGAAAACUGGAUGUGAUAGAAACAAAACUGUAAUAUAUUUUUAAUGAGGGUACACCAACAUAAAUAAAAGUCAUAGCAAAGUUCAUGUGACAAAAACAGUGUUUACCAGUGUUAUCGAUGAAAUCAAUAUGAUUGGAGCCGAGUUGUUUUCCCAAAUAGAUUCAAGGUUAAAGCAAAUCAGCGGUAAUUUUGACGUCAAUUUUGGUGGAAUAGAUAUAAUUUUGAUUGGUGGUCUACGUCAACUACCGCCAGUUCAUCCUACUACCAUUUCUUCUUCUUCUUAAUUGGCGUAGACAUCGCUUACGCGAUUAUAGCCGAGGUAACAACAGCGCGCCAGUCGAUUCUUCCUUUCGCUACGUGGCGCCAAUUGGAUAUUCCAAGCGAAGUCAGGUCCUUCUCCACUUGGUCCUUCCAACGGAGUGGAGGUCUUUCUCUUCCUCUGCUUCCCCCGGCGGGUAUUGCGUCGAAUACUUUCAGAGCUGGAGUGUUUUCAUCCAUCCGGACAACAUGACCUAGCCAGCGUAGCCGCUGUCUUUUAAUUCGCUGAACUAUGUCAAUGUCGUCGUAUAUUUUCAUCGUUCCAUCGUUCAUCGUUUCAUCGAAUGCGAUAUUCGCCGUGGCCAAUGCGCAAAGGAACAUAAAUCUUUCUCAGAACUUUUCUCUCGAAAACUCGUAACGUCGACUCAUCGGUUGCUGUCAUCGUCCAAUCCUCUGCACCAUAUAGCAGGACGGGAAUUAUGAGCGACUUAGAGUUUGGCUUUUGUUUUCAAUUGCCUACUCAGUCCGAAGUAGCACCUGUUGGCAAGAGCAAUUCUGCGUUGGAUUUUCAGGCUGACAUUGUUGGUGGUGUUAAUACUGGUUCCUAAAUAGACGAAAUUAUCUACAAUUUCAAAGUUAUGACAGUCAACAGUGACGUCAGAGCCAAGUCGCGAGUGCGACAACUGUUUGUUUGAUGACAAGAGAUAUUUCGUUUAGCCCUCGUUCACUGCCAGACCCAUUUUCUGUGCUUCCUUGUCCAGCCUGGAGGAACCAGGCGCGGGUGUUGAGGCCGAUGAUAUCAAUAUCAUCCUGAUCCUGACGGAGCUUUUCGUGUUGCUCAACGUCAGUUUACACAGCCGUAUUAGUUUUGCGGGAAUACCAAAUUCAGACAUCGCUUUUCGUGCUGUCGAAAGCAGCGUUGAAAUCGACGAAGAGGUGGUGUGUGUCGAUUCUUCUUUCACGAGUAUUUUCCAAGAUUUGGCGCAUGGUGAAUAUCUGGUCGGUUGUUGAUUUUCCAAGUCUAAAGCCACACUGAUAAGGUCCAAUCAGUAUGUUGACGGUGGGCUUUAAUCUUUCACACAAUACGCUCGAUAGAACCUUAUAUGCGAUGUUGAGGAGGCUUAUCCCACGGUAGUUGGCGCAGAUUGUGGGGUUUCCUUUUUUAUGGAUUGGGCAUAGCACACUUAAAUUGCAGGCGUUGGGCAUGCUUUCGUCCGACCAUAUUUUACAAAGAAGCUGAUGCAUGCUCCCUAUCAGUUCUUUGCCGCCGUGUUUGAAUAGCUCGGCCGGCAAUCCAUCGGCCCCCGCCACUUUGUUGUUCUUCAGGCGGGUAAUUGCUAUUCGAACUUCUUCAUGGUCGGGCAAUGGAACGUCUGCUCCAUCGUCAUCGAUUGGGGAAUCGGGUUCGCCUUCUCCUUUCGUUGUGCAUUCACUGCCAUUCAGCAGGCUGGAGAAGUGUUCCCUCCAUAAUUUAAGUAUGCUCUGGGCAUCGGUGACUAGAUCACUUUUGGGGGUUCUACAAGAGUAUGCUCCGGUCUUGAAACCUUCUGUAAGCCGCCGCAUUUGUUUGUCGGCCAGCUUAUCAAGCUCUUCGUACUCACGCACUUCGGCCUCUUUUUUUUCUGUCUGCAAAUGCGUCUCGCUUCCCUCUUCAAAUCUCGGUAUCUAUCCCAUCCCGCACGAAUUGUGGUCGAUCGUAACGUUUCGAGGUAGGCAGUCUGUUUUCUCUCCGCUGCGACACGGCACUCCUCGUCGUACCAGCUGUUCUUUUGUACUUUCCGAAAACCAAUGGUUUCGGUUGCUGCUGUACGUAAGGAAUUUGAGAUGCCGUCCCACAGUUCCCUUAUACCGAGUUGUUGAGAGUGCUCUCAGAGAGCAGGAGUGCAAGCCGAGUAGAAAAUCUUUAGGCUGUCUGUUGUGAUUGCAGCUUCUCGACGUCGAACUUUCCUUGUGUUUGUUGGCGUGCGUUUUUUGCUGCACAGAGGCAGGUGCGAAUCUUAACUGCAACAAGAUAGUGGUCCGAGUCGAUGUUAGGACCUCGGAGCGCACGCACAUCUAAAACACUAGAGACGUGUCUUCCGUCUAUCACAACAUGAUCGAUCUGGUUGGUAGUUUUUCGAUCCGGAGACAGCCAGGUAGCUUGAUGAAUCUUCUUAUGCUGGAAUCUAGUACUACAGAUAACCAUAUUUCGGGCCCUGGCGAAGUCAAUCAGCCUCAACCCAUUUGGGGAUGUUUCGUCGUGGAGGCUGAAUUUAUCGACCGUAGUGCCAAAUAUACCUUCUUUGCCCACCCUGGCGUUAAAGUCGCCAAACACGAUUUUGACAUCGUGGCGGGGGCAGCUCUCAUAAGCGCGCUCCAAGCGCUCAUAGAAGGCAUCUUUGGUCACAUCGUCCUUCUCUUCCGUCGGGGCGUGGGCGCAAAUCAGCGAUAUGUUGAAGAACCUCGCUUUGAUGCGGAUUGUGGCUAGACGUUCAUUCACCGGAGUGAAUGAUAGUACUCGGCGACGGAGUCUCUCUCCCACCACGAAUCCAACACCAAACUUGCGCUCCUUUAUAUGGCCACUGUAGUAAAUCUCACAAGGACCUACUCGUCUCUGUCCUUGUCCCGUCCAUCGCAUUUCUUGGACGGCGGUGAUGUCAGCCUUUAUUUUUGCGAGGACAUCAACCAGCUGGGCAGCGGCACCUUCCCAAUUAAGGGUCCGGACAUUCCAGGUGCAUGCCCUCAAAUCGUAGUCCUUAUUCCGUUUGCCAUGGUCGUCAUCAAAAGGGGGGUCUCUCAUCCGAGGCGGGUCCCAAGCCCAGCGCACAACCCUAUGUAGGGAAUGUUUCGCCUUCGAACGGAUGUUCUUAGGCUACCCAGAGGAUACUUGAUCAAAGACCGGAAGUAGUAAGCUGCUUGAGCCAUAUGUAAAAGAAUCGUUUCUGGCCACUCCCAAGUGAAUGGCGAUCAGAGAACUUUCCUCACUUGCGUGAACUUCUACACAUGACUCCAUCCUCCAUAUGGAAAGUUACAUAUAAAUAUUUAUUCCACUGAUAAACAUAAUUUUUUAACCUGCACCGACAUAUUUUCAAAAUUCGUCAUCGUUAUUCCAAUUGUAUCAAGGGCAAUUAUUGACGUAAAACAAACUUUAUUACAAAUCCUUAAUUUUUAAUUGAAAAUACGAGGAAUGUGACGGCUGAUAACCAAAAUUCACUGAACUCACAAACAAUAAAGUCCUUUCUUAAGGAUCGUUUUGGAGCAGAAUUUUUUACAACCCCUCCUUUACAUAGCACAGAGAGAUUUCGUACCAUCUUAAUUGAAAUCGCUAGAUGCACUAAGCUAGAACAAGCUAUAAAUGAUACGAAUGAACUAAUACUUCUUGCUACUGCAAGAUAGAUGGAUCGAUUUGAAUUUUUCAAUGCAUUUGGACCUUAAUCGAAAUAAAAGGCAAGUUAAUUAAAGCCCAGGAAAAUUGGCAAGGAACAAUGGCGGUAAACUUACGAGGUUUUUCAAGGCAGAAGACAUAGUUUGUGUUAAGAACAAUAAAAGAAUUCGCAAUAAAUUAACAAAAAAAGCAGUUUUAAUAGGUAAUAGGAAGUUUCAUAAGAGUAACCUUAGUUAAUAAUUUUUGUUUUUUUUUCUCACCUUUACAGAGUUAUUUUACCACUUUUGCGAACUCAGGGGUCCGACAGCAAAAUGAUUAAUUUUACAAAAGCUAACCAAUUAUUGACGGAAAUGUUGCAGUUUGAGACAAAUAUGACUACUUAACCUUUAACUGGUGACAAGCGGUCUCACAGGCCGAGCGGAGUCAGUGAACAUCAUUUCACCCCCUGAUUUUAAUUCCUACAUAGAUUGUAUUAGAAAGUUUGUAAUAGCGAGCCUAUUGAGUAGUUUUAUUUUAUCAUUUUAUAUAUUCAUUUCAUGGUUUAAAGACUGCAGCAAGCUAUCGUCUUAGGCCGCUUGUCACCAGUUAAAUUACACAAAAACCAUGUCACCAGUUAAAGGUUAACGCAUCGAACGAAUUUGACGAAUUACAUCACGGUCUUGCGGGAAAUUAGUGCAAAUCCCAAAAUGUUGGUCAAAAAUUAGCUGAUAAAGUAAAAAAAAUUCUUUGGAAAAGACUGUAGUGCGUCAACAAUUCGCCGUAUCUUACAAUCACAUGAUUUUUGUUGGCGACUUUAUCUCAAGAAGCCAUUUAAUAACCAGAAGAACAGAGUUACCCGUCUGACAUUCGCCAAAAAUCAUGUUUUCAAGGACUCAACAUUUUGGGACACCGUCAUCUCUUCAGACGAGUCCAAAUUUAAUAUAUUUGGUUCUGACGGAAAAUCGAUGAUGUGGCGGAAACCCUAUAAAAACUGUUUGUGAAGAAUAUACAAGGAAGGAAGAGUUAUGGCUUGGGCCUUCAUGGCAGCAACAUACAAAAACAUGUAUCUUACCUUGUACAUCACUGUAUGUAUAUGUUCGCUGUACAUGUCGUUAUUUGUCGAUAUAUAUGUAUGUACAAAAAAUUUUUAAUUUACAAAUAUGUACGUAUAUAUGAAAAGGUUCAAGUUUAAAGAUUUUCUCUAUUUUUGUCUGCUUAUGAUUUGCCUUUACCUUAUUUUAAGCAAUCCUGCUUGUACUUGAUUAAGGUGAGACGAUCCUUAAUCAAGUAUAAGUGUGACCCUCCGAAAAAUCACAUUUAAAAAUGAAAAUCAUAUUUACUGGGUGCAAAAUAGUUAAAUAAAUUGUCGAAAUGACAUGUAAAAGAAGUUCCUGUACGAUGUCCCCGAUUGCGGCUGCAAUUUUGGAUUAAAACUAAAAUUUCAAAAAGAUUAUUAUUAUAUAGGAAAGUCGCUUUCGCGCUAAGGAAACUUUUUUUUGGUUUUUUUAAAAUUUGACAAAAUGUCGAUGGUUUGAACAAAAAUAUCGAAUUUGGCCCUUUUUCGACAGUUUUUCGUAGAAAAAAUAGAAAGAUUUAAAAAAUAUAUAUGUAAACUUCCAAAGCGCGAGAGCUAAUGACGUUUUAACACAUCGGUAAGCAUUUACCGGCAAUCAAUAAUUAAAUAAACCGAAUACUAAAACAGUUUGGAAGUCUUCUUUUAUUUUAUUUGAACGGAUUUUUUAUAAAAACCGCAAAUGUGAAGAUAUUAAACAUACAUACAUAUGUGUAUUGAAAUACACAAAAUGCUAAAUGGAAUCAAUACGACUCACUUUAAUUUCCUUCGGGUGGUUUUGGGGACAAAAUGUGUUUAUCUAUGUGCGUAUGUGUUCCACUCCUUUGCUGUGUUUGUGCUGAUUUAUGAGAGUUGUUGUUGUUUUUGUUUUUUGAUUGCUUAAAUCGCGCCCACUCUUUGCAGUUAUGAUUUUUUUUGCGAUUCGCGUCUGCUAUAAUUUUAGUUUUGUAUUAUUUUUGAACCUCAAAAAAAAUACACGUGGGUGGCCCGAGUGAUUUUGGAUCUUGAUGUUAUCUGAAAUCAAAUAUUCUUGAUUAUUCUUAAUCUAUAGGCAUGUCAUUCUGGUAACUACUGAAGUUAAGUUUCAAGGGUAAAUAACAAAAUGGGGGACUUAGAAAAAAGUUCUUUUAUUUUAGCAAAGACAGGGUUGAAAAAUAAAUAUUUAGGGGUCAAAAAAAUUCUCGUUUGUACCGACGAGAACUAUAAGGGUGUAGAAUAGUCUCUUAAAAUUUAAAAGCAAUCGGUUCAGUAGAAAAAAAGUUAGGACCCGGGCCGACCAGAAAAACAAUGUUUUGAGGAAACUCCGAGGCGCUCUAGGAAACUUGAGACUGUCUGUCUGUCCACCUGUCUGUUCAUCGGGGCAAGCUGUAACUUGAGUAAAAAUUGAGAUAUCUCGAUGAAAUUUGGUAUAUGGUUUCCUUAGUUAAAAAGAAUUUCGAGUUCGUAGUUAGGCGUAAUCGGACCACUGCCAUAACUCAGCACUAAAAUAAGACAUAAAGCUAUAAUUUGGUACAGAGGACCGCUGUAGCAAGGGGCAACUGUGGGAAAUUUUUUUUAAAAAGUGGGCGUGGCCCCGCCCUCUUAACAAGUUUUAUGUACAUAUCUCCUAAGCUACUUAAACUACAACAACCACAUUUGCUGAGUUUACAUCUUAUGAAAACUUCUACUGACAGUGUGAAAAUGGAUGAAAUCGAAUGAUAAUCCCGCUCACUCCUCAUUAAAACGGUACUGUUAAAAACUACUACAAGUGUGAUAAAUAUAUAACUAAAUACGCUAAAGACAUUUAGUUUUACCAUCGAGUUGGUAGGAGAGAGCUUUAUGGGAGCUGUUGCUACGAUGGACGUAGCAUUUUUUGGUGAAAUCCCUUAUCUUGGGUACUAACCAACCGUUUUCGACAAAAUUUAGUACGUGGCUCUUCUUACAUUCUUAUGUCUUCUUGUUCUUCUUUACUGACGUAGACAUCGCCUACGCGAUUAUAGCCGAGUUAACAACAGCGCGCCAGUCGUUUCUUCUUUUCGCAAGGUGGCGCCAAUUGUAGAUUCCAAGCGAAGCGAGGUCCUUCUCCACCUGGUCGUUCCAACGGAGUAGAAGUCUUCGUCUUCUUCUGCUUCCCUCGACGGGUAUUGCGUCGAAUACUUUCAGAGCUGGAAUGUUUUCGUCCACACGUACGACAUGAUCUAGCCAGGGCAGCCGCUGUCUCUUGAUCCGUUAAACUAUGUCAAUGUCGUCGUAUAUCUCAAACAGUUCAUCGUUUCAUCGAAUGUGAUAUUCACCGAGGCCAACGCGCAAAAGGACAUACAUAUUUUGCAGAAUCUUUCCCUCAAAAACUUCUAAGGCCGACUCAUCAGAUGUUAUCAUCGUCCAUGGAAUAAUGAGUGACUUAUAGAGUUUAGGAAUUUACUUCUCAAUUGCCUAUUCAGUCCAAAGUAGCGUAGGAUUUCGAAGCUGAUAUUGUACUUGCUCGAUUAAGUUCUGCAGCUCGAAUUCUUUUCUCCAAGAGCUGAUUGAAGAAGUCGCACGAUAGGGAGUCGCCUUGUCUGAAACGUCAUUUGGUAUCGAACGGCUCGGAGAGGUCUUUCCCGAUCCUGACAGAGCUUUUUGUAUUGCUUAACGUCAGUUUACACAGCGUAUUAGUUUUGCGGGAUACCAAAUUUACACAUCGCGGCAUAAAGGCAGCUCCUUUUCAUGCUGUCAAAAGCAGCUUUAAAAUCGACGAAAAGGUGGUGUGUGUCGAUUCUCUUCUCACUGGUCCUUUACAAGAUUUGGCGCAUGGUGAAUUUCUGGUCGGUUGGUGAUUUUCCUGGUUUAAAGCCACACUGAUAAGAUCCAAUCAGUUUGUAGCUGGUGGGCUUUAGUCUUUCACACAUUCACACAAUACAAUCGAUCCACCAGACCAUGACAACAAAUACACCAGACCCAACCUGCGAAGACAAGAGUAGGACAGCAACCCCUAUAUGGAGACCCUUACACCCUUCAGUCAAUGUGAGUCGUAUCGAUUCCUAUUAGUAUCUUAGCACUGUAUAUGUGUACAUAUGUGCAUGUUUGAAGCCCAUAUUGGCAAUACUAGUUUGAAGUCUUUCAAAACGGUUGUGUAAAAAAUAUAAAUCUAGCUAAACUUAUCUUCGUGUAGUUAAACACACAAAACAAAAAAAAAAAGAGAUAUACGUAUGUAUACAUACCGGCUAAAUACACAACAUAAAAUCAAACAUGCAUAGAUAUUCAAUAUACAUAAUAUAUAAAGUUUAAAACAAACUAUAUACAACCGCGCGAACGCUAAAACUGAAAAACGCGUAUUUCAUUACUUUUAACAGAAAUUAAAGCUCUUAUCGACGUGAAAGAGUUUUACAGUUCUCAAAAUUUAUCCGUUUGCUUUAAAUCGAAAGAAAAAAUUAUAUAUAUGUACAUACAUAUAUUGCCAUUUUUCAUCUAAAUGAACACAGAUUCAAAGGAAUCUAAAUCUCAUCAAUUUCUGAAAAUACCAAAAAUGAUUUCGGAUGAAAAAAGUCCAUGUACACCGGCAGAAGCUACACGCUCGAAGCAAGGUGCUACAAAACAAAAACGGGGUAAAGAUAUUUCGUACGCAACAUUUUUAUCAGAGUGUGACAGCUUAAUACAAUACUGCACUCGAUUCUCAUCUUCGCCGAUUCUAGAUAACUCUGAAUCGGUACUAGAAAUCAAGAAUCAAACCAUUGACAAUUUUUGGACACGUCUCCAAGCGGCCUAUGACGCCAUUGUAGAAACUGACGAUUCGGAUCUUCCGGAAAAUUUCAAAAUCUCGGCUUACUCCAAAUAUGAAAAUUGCCUUGACCAAUAUGAAGAGACAAAAGCCAUGAUCUCUGAUCAAUUAAAAUUAACAAGGUCAAAAGCACCAAAUCCACAACUGAGAGUAGAGCUACCACAAACACAGUCCAAAAAAGCACUUACGCCGACACACGCGCACACCGGUCCGUUACCCAAAACCGCAACAUAAAAAGAAAAAUUGAAUUUACUUAACAUUAGAAGUGAGAUUGUGAAAUUUAUAUAGUAAAGAAGCGAUUGUAGUGAAAAAGAUAUUAUAAAGUUUAUAUAGUAAAAAAGAGAUACUGUGAAACUUCUAUUGUAACAGAAAAAAAAAUUAAAUAAAAUAUACUAAAGCGUUUCUGCACCCUAAUAAUUGGUGAACAGAAUAAAUAUGGUGAUCGAUCAUGGUAAUUUAACCGCCGGCUUAGUAUUACUUCGUGGGAGCGAAAUGUCUUGUCGCUCCUCCUCUAUUAGCCGGACUAACGCACGCGUAGUCUGUUGGAAAAUUCUUUUUUGGUUUGGAUGAUGAAUCCCACCGCUCCUGCCACAUUUUAGUGCUCUUUUUUCUCUCCCCUGUCCUUGCCGAUACAGUUUUAGGCGCUGAUAGCUGAUAUAAAGGCUCGAGUUCAUCUCCCUGGAUGUCAAUGAGCGGCAUGCUGGCUAAUACUUCAGCAGCGAAGGUUGAUAUCCGGGAAGGACCCGAAUUACAGAAAGUCUAUGCACUGUAAUUACUUGUUUAGCAUACUCUUUUAUAUCUAUUGCUUGUAUCCGUAAUGGUGCCGCAUACAGUAUUACGGAACUCAUUGCUUUCGCUAUUAAGAAUAGUCGGCUGGAACGGAUACAGCCUCUAUUAAUCAUUAUUCUCGAUAGGGCAUUAUAAAUUUUGUUUGCUUUACCGGAAGAAUACACCAGGUGCUCUUUAAAUUUUAAUUUGGAAUCCACUAUUACUCCCAGAUACUUCAGUUGCGGCUGUGGAGUAAUCUCGCACUCCCCUAUGGUAAGCUCUAUUCGUUCUUCUAUCUUCCUAGUGCUUAUGAGUAAAACUUCUUUUUUGUCUUCCGCCAGUUUCAGACUUACAGAAGAGAACCAUUGGCGUAGACCAUUUAAGCACUCAUUUCACAUAUUUCUCAGGUCGGAUAAUUAUUUGGCCACUGCUACCACCAUGAGAUCAUCCGCAUACACUACUAGUUUCACGUCUUUUGGUUGCUCUCUUCUUAGCACCCCGUCAUACAUAAGGUCCCAUAAUAGUCCGUAUCAAAAAUCUGCUUUCUGUUUUUAAAAUAACUCGUUAUGUUUAUGAGGUAUUCAGGAGCCCGUAUGUCAUUCAGGGCUUUGAUUAUGUCUGCCCACUUUGCCGUGUUGAACGCAUUCUUGACAUCCAGGGUAAACAGCACGCAGUACUUUUUGUGCCACCUUUCCAUCUUUUGCCACUUUUCGCAUUAUCGACGACUUCUCGCAGUGCGUCAAUAGUGGAUCUCUUUUUUAUAAAGCCGUAUUGUCUCUCUGAUAAUCCGCCGGCUUUCUGCAUUUCUAACUCCAAGCGGUUGCUUAUGAUAUUUUCGUACACCUUACAAAUUGUGUCGAGAAUACACAGAGGUCGGUACAAUGAAGGCUCUUCAGGUGGUUUGAUUAAAUUAGUACACAGUACUGUCUUAAUUAGAAUAAAAGUCAUUUUUGACAAUAUUAUUUAAUAAACGAAAUAAUAAAUGAUGAAGCUAAUUAAAAUUAAAUGUCGACGAGUAGGGCGGCGAGAAUCCAAUUCCAACUUGCCGGCGUUGGCGUUCUAAUUGAUGUAGAUCGUGGUCGAGCGGUUGUUGCGAAAAACGAAUAUUUGAAAAAAGAUUUCAGCGCACAGGAACCGAGUUGUUGCAACGUUUCUCUUUGAAAGUUUAAGCGAGUGUAACAAAAGCAGCGAUGAUCCAAUCCUUUUGUUAGUUAGAUAGUUGUCAUCCUGCUGUGGUGAAAUACAAUUUGUCUCCAGGUGUGUUGUAUUAGUGCAUGUUCCGAUGUUAAGUGUUUUGUUCUUCUCAGGGGAGUUGAGUUGUGCUAGGGUGCGCCAGUUUUUCACGGAUAGAGUGGGGGAGGCUUAACUCAUUUAAACAUUCUGGGCCCCCUAGGCAAAUAUUUUGCCUAGUAUUAUACGUAUGUAAGUGCGCUAUAUGCGAUUGCAUGUAUAGCGGAGUACUUCUGGUAGUGUACCCGAGAGCGCAGAAUACCUGUAAAUGCUAAAAACGGCUUUGAUUUUAAACAUAUUUGGUAUGCAUUUACUUGUGUUUCUUUGAUAAGUUUACUAUUUGUGGUUUUAUUGAAAACUUCUUUACCAUCGGUUUGUUAAACUGGUUGUUUAUUAAUUAAUUUUGUAAGCUGUAGAUACAUUGUCACGCACAUUGGGAAUAAAAGUACCGCGUUAUUUGAGUAGUAUGAUAUAUUUAUAAUUAUAUCAUUUAUUAAGUCUUUAUAUGUAUUUUUACAACGAUUAUUUUAUUAACAUAAAAUAUUCAAUUAUUUGGGUAACCCACAUAAAGCAGCGUAUGUAUAAUAGAUAGCGCGCCAGAUCGCUUGCUGCGUCAAGCGACAAGAUAUAUAUGUUUAAACAUAAAACUAGAAUUAAGAAAUUUGAAUUAUAAGAAUUGUUAAAUAUUGAGUUAUUAAAAAUCAAAUUAAAAUACUCACCUUAAUAUUGUAUUCAUUAUACCAAUCGAAUACUUACCUUAAUACUUUCCAUAAUCUAUUACAAUAUUUAACGAAAGUUGAAAAUGAUUAUACCUACCCCUUUUUAAUACAUAUUUAUAUUACCACUAGUUUAAGCCGUUAGUUUCAAGAUCUAUGCUUAGCAAUUAGAUUAAGAAAUAAAGAACUCUCUGUUGUUAUUUGAACGUGAAUUCGAA